rnacentral:ncRNA from 1 species
GCUAUGAUGCCGUAGCCAGCCUGCGUUUUUCAUACGCGCAGGCGGCGUACGUCAAUACGUGCCUGAUUCACUAUCAGAAGUCU